rnacentral:rRNA from 1 species
AGCGGCAAAAGCUCAAAUUUGAAAUCUGGCGCCUUCGGUGUCCGAGUUGUAAUUUGAAGAUUGUAACCUUGGGGUUGGCUCUUGUCUAUGUUUCUUGGAACAGGACGUCACAGAGGGUGAGAAUCCCGUGCGAUGAGAUGCCCAAUUCUAUGUAAGGUGCUUUCGAAGAGUCGAGUUGUUUGGGAAUGCAGCUCUAAGUGGGUGGUAAAUUCCAUCUAAAGCUAAAUAUUGGCGAGAGACCGAUAGCGAACAAGUACAGUGAUGGAAAGAUGAAAAGAACUUUGAAAAGAGAGUGAAAAAGUACGUGAAAUUGUUGAAAGGGAAGGGUUUGAGAUCAGACUCGAUAUUUUGUGAGCCUUGCCUUCGUGGCGGGGUGACCCGCAGCUUAUCGGGCCAGCAUCGGUUUGGGCGGUAGGAUAAUGGCGUAGGAAUGUGACUUUACUUCGGUGAAGUGUUAUAGCCUGCGUUGAUGCUGCCUGCCUAGACCGAGGACUGCGA